GAGGCAAAAUGUCCCUGAAGUGUUCUCUGGGGAACCUCCAGCACCUUGCACAGUGCCUGACACACAGCAGGGGCCUCAUAAAUGGCUGUUAAUAAGUGAUAAAACCCACCCAAGACUGCUUUUCUUACUGCUUUUGAUAAAACUCAUAAGCGAACUCCGAGUGACAGCUGCUUUCUUUGCCUCAUCCUGCUCCCUGUAGCUACCUCUGUGCCUCCGUCCCACAGUUAGAUGCAACAUCCCUGAUUUCCAGGAUCAGCUUAGUUCAUGCCAUUGACCCUUGAUUUUUUUGGUCUAUUCCCAUGUUCACCAGGAAGAGAAGCAUGAGGUUACAUCUGUAAUCUCCCUGCAGCAGAGUCAACUGCAUAAGAAACCAAAAGACACACCUGCUCCAUGCCAGCUUCGAUAAUUUCUUUGUACCUUCGGCGAAAGAAGCCCAUCUGAAAGGCAGAAAGAAAGAGGAGAAGCUGAGUUAGAAGUGCUGAAGAAUCAGCCAUUGUGACCCCAAGGCAGUCUGUCCCUGGCCUAAGCCACCACAUAAAAAGUCAGACCAUCUGCUGGAAGAACCACAUGGAGAGGCCCUGAGUCGACAUGGAGAGGAAGAAGGACUUAACUGAAUCCAGCCUUCCAGCUGUCCCUACCAAGGUGCCAGGCACGAGAAUGAAGCUGUCUUGGACUCUGAAGACCAGCUUAGCCACCAGGUAAAUGCCACUAAGUGACCUCACUCAAUGUCAUGUGGGACGGAAGAAUCACCCCGCCAAACCCUUCCUGGAUCCCUGACCCAGAAAUUUGUCAGAUGUAAUGGUUGUGAAAAGCCACUCAAUUUGGGGGCAGUUUGUAUGCAGCAUAGCUAGCUGGUAUGAUACAACAGCCUGCAAUUCAGGCAGCAGCAGCACUAACAACGAUGAAA
rnacentral:antisense_RNA from 1 species